rnacentral:rRNA from 1 species
UCAGCGGCGGACGGGUGAGUAAUGCCUAGGAAUCUGCCUGGUAGUGGGGGACAACGUUUCGAAAGGAACGCUAAUACCGCAUACGUCCUACGGGAGAAAGCAGGGGACCUUCGGGCCUUGCGCUAUCAGAUGAGCCUAGGUCGGAUUAGCUAGUUGGUGAGGUAAUGGCUCACCAAGGCGACGAUCCGUAACUGGUCUGAGAGGAUGAUCAGUCACACUGGAACUGAGACACGGUCCAGACUCCUACGGGAGGCAGCAGUGGGGAAUAUUGGACAAUGGGCGAAAGCCUGAUCCAGCCAUGCCGCGUGUGUGAAGAAGGUCUUCGGAUUGUAAAGCACUUUAAGUUGGGAGGAAGGGUUGUAGAUUAAUACUCUGCAAUUUUGACGUUACCGACAGAAUAAGCACCGGCUAACUCUGUGCCAGCAGCCGCGGUAAUACAGAGGGUGCAAGCGUUAAUCGGAAUUACUGGGCGUAAAGCGCGCGUAGGUGGUUUGUUAAGUUGGAUGUGAAAUCCCCGGGCUCAACCUGGGAACUGCAUCCAAAACUGGCAAGCUAGAGUAUGGUAGAGGGUGGUGGAAUUUCCUGUGUAGCGGUGAAAUGCGUAGAUAUAGGAAGGAACACCAGUGGCG